UGCUUUUUGAAAAUAUAAAAAGUAUGACCUGCCCACUGAUUUUUUAAAUGGCCGCAGUAUAUUGACUGUGCAAAGGUAGCAUAAUCAUUUGCUUUAUAAAUUAAAGCUUGUAUGAAUGGUAUAAUGUAAAUAUAACUGUCUUUUAUAUAAAAAUAAAAUUUAUCUUUUCAGUGAAGAGACUAAAUAUAUUUAGAAAGACGAGAAGACCCUAAUGAGUUUUAUAUUAAUUUUAUUUAAAUAAAAUGAUUAUUUUAUUGGGGCGAUAAAAGAAUAUAUCUUCUUUUAUAAUUUUAAAAGAAUUAUUAAUGAUUCAUUAUUAAUGAAAAAAGGUUUAAAUUACCAUAGGGAUAACAGCAUAAUCUUUUUUAAAAGUACAUAUCGACAAAAAGGAUUGUGACCUCGAUGUUGGGUUAAGAUAAUUAUAUAAUGCAGAAAUUAUAUUAAUAAGUCUGUUCGACUUUUAAAGUCUUACA
rnacentral:rRNA from 1 species